GACGAACCGUGCAACCGUUGUUCGGAAUCACUGGGCUUAAAGGGCGCGUAGGCGGGCGAGCAAGUCCGGGGUGAAAUCUUUCGGCUUAACCGGAAAAGUGCCUUGGAUACUGCUCGUCUGGAGGAAGGUAGGGGCAGGUGGAACUUCUGGUGGAGCGGUGAAAUGCGUUGAUAUCAGAAGGAACGCCGGUGGCGAAAGCGACCUGCUGGACCUUUUCUGACGCUGAGGCGCGAAAGCUAGGGGAGCAAACGGG
rnacentral:rRNA from 1 species